UCCACUGAUGACUAGAUUGAAAUAUUACAAACUAGAGUUUCUGAAUCAUUUAUGAUUAGAAAAGCGAUCAUGUUCCUGAGG
rnacentral:snoRNA from 1 species